GAUGAACGCUGGCGGCGUGCCUAACACAUGCAAGUCGAACGAACGGACCAGGAGUUUGCUUCUCUGAUGUUAGCGGCGGAGGGGAGAGUCACAUGUGUAUAGCCUACCUAUAAGACUGGGAUAACUACGGGAAACCGGAUCUUAGACCGGAUGAUAUUUUGCACCGCGUUGUUCAAGAGUUAGAUACGGUCUUUCGGUCGCUUAUAGAUGCAUCCGCGCUGAAUUAGCUGGUUGUUAAGGUAACGGCUUAGCAAGGCAACGAUGCAUAGCCGACCUGAGAGAGUGGUAGGACACCUGGGAAGUGAGACAGAGCCACGACUCCUGCGGUAGGCAGCAGUAGGGACUCGUACGCAAUGGGGGAGAGCCUGACGGAGCAGAGCCGGGUGAGUGCUGAAGGUCCUGGGAUCGGAAAACUAUGUUAUUAGGGGAGAACAUAUGUGUAAGUAACCGUGAAGAUAUUGACGGUACCUAGUCAGAAAGCCACGGCUAACUACGUG
rnacentral:rRNA from 1 species